UACGUAGGGUGCAAGCGUUGUCCGGAAUUAUUGGGCGUAAAGAGCUCGUAGGCGGUUCGUCGCGUCGGCUGUGAAAACCUGAGGCUCAACCUCAGGCCUGCAGUCGAUACGGGCGGACUUGAGUACUGCAGGGGAGACUGGAAUUCCUGGUGUAGCGGUGAAAUGCGCAGAUAUCGGGAGGAACACCAGUAGCGAAGGCGGCACUCUGGGCCGGUACUGACGCUGAGGAGCGAAAGCGUGGGGAGCGAACAGG
rnacentral:rRNA from 1 species